rnacentral:rRNA from 1 species
CCUACGGGAGGCAGCAGUGGGGAAUAUUGGGCAAUGGAGGAAACUCUGACCCAGCGACGCCGCGUGCGGGAUGAAGGCCUUCGGGUUGUAAACCGCUUUCAGUAGGGAAGAAGCGAAAGUGACGGUACCUACAAAAGAAGCACCGGCUAACUAUGUGCCAGCAGCCGCGGUAAUACAUAGGGUGCAAGCGUUGUCCGGAAUUAUUGGGCGUAAAGAGCUCGUAGGUCGUUUGUUACGUCGGAUGUGAAAACCUGAGGCUCAACCUCAGGCCUGCAUUCGAUACGGGCAAACUAGAGUUUGGUAGGGGAGACUGGAAUUCCUGGUGUAGCGGUGGAAUGCGCAGAUAUCAGGAGGAACACCAAUGGCGAAGGCAGGUCUCUGGGCCAAUACUGACACUGAGGAGCGAAAGUCUGGGGAGCGAACAGGAUUAGAUACCCUGGUAGUCCAGACCGUAAACGGUGGGCACUAGUUGUGGGAACCUUCCACGGUUUCUGCGACGCAGCUAACGCAUUAAGUGCCCCGCCUGGGGAGUACGAUCGCAAGAUUAAAACUCAAAUGAAAUUGACGG